CUCCAGUUCCACCCUGCAGUGCUGCAACCAACAUAACCAGCACUGCUGUCGUAGCUCCCACAGUAAUAGACAGCCUCGUCCUCGGCUUGGACCCCAGUGAUGGUUAAUGUGGCUGUGGAGCCGGAUUAGGAACCGGAGAAUCGUGAAGGGAUGUUUGAGGGUCUGUUAUUGUUGUUAUAGAUCACAGUGACAGGGGCACUGCCAGGUGACUUCUGCUGGUACCAGCCAUAAGCAUUGCUACUCCCAGAGCAGGUGAUCGUGACAGUUUCUCCUAGGUUUGCUGACACUGAGGCCAGCUGAGGCACUGCUGCCUGCACCAG